CCAGCCAAUCAGCAGAGCUGUCUAGUUGCCCGCCCCCCACCACUCUGAGAAAUGUGAGCAGUAAAUACCAUUGUUGUAUGCCAUGGAGGUUUUGUGGUUCUUUGUUACAGUGUUAGUCCAAAUCCACCACGAAGCAGAUGCCGAGAUGGAAUAAAACGUACAAGGAUUUUAUGCAGGGAAUAUCAAUGCAAGAGAAAAAAGGGAGGAGUGAACUGAGCGCCAGGACACCUGUCAAAAGGCAAUAACAAGAUUUUUUAAAAAAUUACUGAAAGAAGUUGGAGUUUAACUGGAAAGUCCCGGUGACCUCAUGAUCUUUGUGCUGUUUGUCCAGUGGGAAUUGCUACUGUGAUUGCUGUUUUCCUGCCUGGAUCCUGACUGAUGAAAUCUUUGAAAGAUGUACCACAUCUGUCAGUGAAGUGAUCUGAUAGUGAUGCUGUGUUCCACCUGUGUUCCUAGGGAACAGUCUGCUAGGGAUCCCUAGAGCAGCAAGAUUUUCAAAUACUCUAAUACUAUUUUCAAAGUUGUUUGUUUGUUUGUUUUGAGAGAGAGAGAGAAUGAGUGAGAGUGGGGAGGGGCAGAGGGAGAGGGAGAGAGAAUCCCAACCAGGCUCCACAUUCAGGGCAGGGCCUGACAUGGGGCUCGAUCUCACUACCCUGAGAUCAUGACCUGAGCUGAAACCGGGAGUGGGAUGCUUAACCAACUGAGCCACCCAGACGCCCCUCUAAUAUUAUUUUCUACUAAAAGGAAUCAGGGCUCCUUGGAGAGUGGCUGACUUUAUGACUCUCUGUUUGGAGCAGAAAGUAGAAAUGGGUUGGAAAAUCUCAUUGUUGCGAAAAAGCAAAAAUGCUUGCAGAGAUUUCAGGAAUUCCUAUUGGCCAGACUAUAACAACUUGAGCAUUGAAAAGAAAAAAAAAUUCUGUGCAAAACAAGAGUACAUAAUGAUACUCAAAAAGAAACAACUAAGGGGUGUCUGGGUGGCUCCGUUGGUUAAGCGGCUUCCUUCAGCUCAGGUCAUGAUCCCUGCUUUGAGCCCUGCUUUGGGCCCCCUGCUUGGCUGGGGGGGGGGGCCUUCUUCUCCCUCUCCCAUUCCUCCUGCUUGUGUUCCCUCUUUUGCUGUCUCUCUCUAUAUAUCAAGUAAAUAAAUAAAAUCUUUAAAAAAAAAAAGAA